GGUUAAGCGACUAAGCGUACACGGUGGAUGCCCUGGCAGUCAGAGGCGAUGAAGGACGUGCUAAUCUGCGAUAAGCGUCGGUAAGGUGAUAUGAACCGUUAUAACCGGCGAUUUCCGAAUGGGGAAACCCAGUGUGAUUCGUCACACUAUCAUUAACUGAAUCCAUAGGUUAAUGAGGCGAACCGGGGGAACUGAAACAUCUAAGUACCCCGAGGAAAAGAAAUCAACCGAGAUUCCCCCAGUAGCGGCGAGCGAACGGGGAGGAGCCCAGAGCCUGAAUCAGUGUGUGUGUUAGUGGAAGCGUCUGGAAAGGCGCGCGAUACAGGGUGACAGCCCCGUACACAAAAAUGCACAUGCUGUGAGCUCGAUGAGUAGGGCGGGACACGUGGUAUCCUGUCUGAAUAUGGGGGGACCAUCCUCCAAGGCUAAAUACUCCUGACUGACCGAUAGUGAACCAGUACCGUGAGGGAAAGGCGAAAAGAACCCCGGCGAGGGGAGUGAAAAAGAACCUGAAACCGUGUACGUACAAGCAGUGGGAGCACAGAGCAAUCUGUGUGACUGCGUACCUUUUGUAUAAUGGGUCAGCGACUUAUAUUCUGUAGCAAGGUUAACCGAAUAGGGGAGCCGAAGGGAAACCGAGUCUUAACUGGGCGUUAAGUUGCAGGGUAUAGACCCGAAACCCGGUGAUCUAGCCAUGGGCAGGUUGAAGGUUGGGUAACACUAACUGGAGGACCGAACCGACUAAUGUUGAAAAAUUAGCGGAUGACUUGUGGCUGGGGGUGAAAGGCCAAUCAAACCGGGAGAUAGCUGGUUCUCCCCGAAAGCUAUUUAGGUAGCGCCUCGUGAAUUCAUCUCCGGGGGUAGAGCACUGUUUCGGCAAGGGGGUCAUCCCGACUUACCAACCCGAUGCAAACUGCGAAUACCGGAGAAUGUUAUCACGGGAGACACACGGCGGGUGCUAACGUCCGUCGUGAAGAGGGAAACAACCCAGACCGCCAGCUAAGGUCCCAAAGUCAUGGUUAAGUGGGAAACGAUGUGGGAAGGCCCAGACAGCCAGGAUGUUGGCUUAGAAGCAGCCAUCAUUUAAAGAAAGCGUAAUAGCUCACUGGUCGAGUCGGCCUGCGCGGAAGAUGUAACGGGGCUAAACCAUGCACCGAAGCUGCGGCAGCGACACUAUGUGUUGUUGGGUAGGGGAGCGUUCUGUAAGCCUGUGAAGGUGUACUGUGAGGUAUGCUGGAGGUAUCAGAAGUGCGAAUGCUGACAUAAGUAACGAUAAAGCGGGUGAAAAGCCCGCUCGCCGGAAGACCAAGGGUUCCUGUCCAACGUUAAUCGGGGCAGGGUGAGUCGACCCCUAAGGCGAGGCCGAAAGGCGUAGUCGAUGGGAAACAGGUUAAUAUUCCUGUACUUGGUGUUACUGCGAAGGGGGGACGGAGAAGGCUAUGUUGGCCGGGCGACGGUUGUCCCGGUUUAAGCGUGUAGGCUGGUUUUCCAGGCAAAUCCGGAAAAUCAAGGCUGAGGCGUGAUGACGAGGCACUACGGUGCUGAAGCAACAAAUGCCCUGCUUCCAGGAAAAGCCUCUAAGCAUCAGGUAACAUCAAAUCGUACCCCAAACCGACACAGGUGGUCAGGUAGAGAAUACCAAGGCGCUUGAGAGAACUCGGGUGAAGGAACUAGGCAAAAUGGUGCCGUAACUUCGGGAGAAGGCACGCUGAUAUGUAGGUGAAGUCCCUCGCGGAUGGAGCUGAAAUCAGUCGAAGAUACCAGCUGGCUGCAACUGUUUAUUAAAAACACAGCACUGUGCAAACACGAAAGUGGACGUAUACGGUGUGACGCCUGCCCGGUGCCGGAAGGUUAAUUGAUGGGGUCAGCGCAAGCGAAGCUCUUGAUCGAAGCCCCGGUAAACGGCGGCCGUAACUAUAACGGUCCUAAGGUAGCGAAAUUCCUUGUCGGGUAAGUUCCGACCUGCACGAAUGGCGUAAUGAUGGCCAGGCUGUCUCCACCCGAGACUCAGUGAAAUUGAACUCGCUGUGAAGAUGCAGUGUACCCGCGGCAAGACGGAAAGACCCCGUGAACCUUUACUAUAGCUUGACACUGAACAUUGAGCCUUGAUGUGUAGGAUAGGUGGGAGGCUUGGAAGUGUGGACGCCAGUCUGCAUGGAGCCGACCUUGAAAUACCACCCUUUAAUGUUUGAUGUUCUAACGUUGACCCGUAAUCCGGGUUGCGGACAGUGUCUGGUGGGUAGUUUGACUGGGGCGGUCUCCUCCUAAAGAGUAACGGAGGAGCACGAAGGUUGGCUAAUCCUGGUCGGACAUCAGGAGGUUAGUGCAAUGGCAUAAGCCAGCUUGACUGCGAGCGUGACGGCGCGAGCAGGUGCGAAAGCAGGUCAUAGUGAUCCGGUGGUUCUGAAUGGAAGGGCCAUCGCUCAACGGAUAAAAGGUACUCCGGGGAUAACAGGCUGAUACCGCCCAAGAGUUCAUAUCGACGGCGGUGUUUGGCACCUCGAUGUCGGCUCAUCACAUCCUGGGGCUGAAGUAGGUCCCAAGGGUAUGGCUGUUCGCCAUUUAAAGUGGUACGCGAGCUGGGUUUAGAACGUCGUGAGACAGUUCGGUCCCUAUCUGCCGUGGGCGCUGGAGAACUGAGGGGGGCUGCUCCUAGUACGAGAGGACCGGAGUGGACGCAUCACUGGUGUUCGGGUUGUCAUGCCAAUGGCACUGCCCGGUAGCUAAAUGCGGAAGAGAUAAGUGCUGAAAGCAUCUAAGCACGAAACUUGCCCCGAGAUGAGUUCUCCCUGACUCCUUGAGAGUCCUGAAGGAACGUUGAAGACGACGACGUUGAUAGGCCGGGUGUGUAAGCGCAGCGAUGCGUUGAGCUAACCGGUACUAAUGAACCGUGAGGCUUAACCUU
rnacentral:rRNA from 1 species